GAUAAGACCAGCUCUGCUGCUAAAACACCCCAAACGGCUUCAGCUGCGACCCCGGCUGCAAAACCUGGUGAGAAGAAGCCUGGAGAGGCCCAAAAGGCCGGGGAGACUAAGGCAGGUGUAGAACAGAAGAAGGCAGAAGAUCCAAUGAAAUCAAAGGGUAAAAAGGCACCUGUGGAACAAAAGAAACCCGCAGAUCCUAAGAAGUCUGAAGAGGCCAAAAAGCCAGCAGUUGCCA